rnacentral:rRNA from 1 species
GACGAACGCUGGCGGCGUGCUUAACACAUGCAAGUCGAACGGAAAGGCCCUGCUUUUGUGGGGUGCUCGAGUGGCGAACGGGUGAGUAACACGUGAGUAACCUGCCCUUGACUUUGGGAUAACUUCAGGAAACUGGGGCUAAUACCGGAUAGGAGCUCCUGCUGCAUGGUGGGGGUUGGAAAGUUUCGGCGGUUGGGGAUGGACUCGCGGCUUAUCAGCUUGUUGGUGGGGUAGUGGCUUACCAAGGCUUUGACGGGUAGCCGGCCUGAGAGGGUGACCGGCCACAUUGGGACUGAGAGACGGCCCAGACUCCUACGGGAGGCAGCAGUGGGGAAUAUGGCACAAUGGGCGGAAGCCUGAUGCAGAAACGCCGCGGGCGGGAUGACGGCCUUCGGGUUGUAAACCGCUUUCGCCUGUGACGAAGCGGGAGUGACGGUAAUGGGUAAAGAAGCACCGGCUAACUACGUG